UGCUGAUGUGCACCCUUUCCCCACCACCGCAUAAGGGUGCGUCCUGCGCCCUUUAACCCUAUUCCUUCUCAUGCUCCUGCCGGUUUCGGCGGCAUUCCGCCACGGGCCUUUCCAUGGGUUUCCCCAACAAUGAAACCCACAUGUGGGGGGGGAGGGUGUGCACCAGCCCCGGGUGGGGUCAGCCGUGGUUUGCUGGGGUUUGUGACCUGCGACUGAGGUUACAAGAGUGGUGUGCCCACGUCCCCUGCAGUGUCCGGGUUACCUCCUAGCAGGCUGCUGCAAUUUUGUUGGUUCAUAUCUACUGCCUAUUUGCUGCGACUU
rnacentral:telomerase_RNA from 1 species